GCCAGGCAUGGUGGCGCAUGCCUGUAGUCCCAGCUGUUCAGGAGGCUGAGGCAGGAGAAUCACUUGAACCCGGGAGGUGGAGGUUGCAGUGAGCCAAGAUUGUGCCACUGUACUCCAGCCUGGGUGACAGAGUGAGACUCUGUCUCAA
ensembl:misc_RNA Metazoa_SRP Metazoan signal recognition particle RNA